rnacentral:rRNA from 1 species
UGAAUUUUAGCUAAGCAGCCCGAAACCAGACGAGCUACUCACAAACAGUUUACCAAGAACUAACUCAUCUAUGUGGCAAAAUAGUGAGAAGAUUUGUAAGUAGAGGUGACAUGCCUAACGAGCCUGGUGAUAGCUGGUUGUCCAGAAAAUGAAUCUAAGUUCAGCUUUACAAGAUACCAAAAAUUCAAAUAAACCCCACUGUAGCUUUAAAAGUUAGUCUAAAAAGGUACAGCCUUUUAGAAACGGAUACAACCUUGACUAGAGAGUAAAAUUUAACACU